CCACGCUGCUGGGGAUGCAGCCCAGGGCAUGGGGGGCUUUCUGGGCUGCGAGCGCACGUGGCCGGGUCACGUCCAGCUUCUCGCCCACCAGCACCCCCAGUCCCUCUCCUCAGGGCUGCUCUCAAUCACUUCAUUGCCCAGCCUGUGUUGAUACUGGGGGUUGACUCAACCCAGGUGCAGGACCUUGCACUUGGCCUUGUUGAACUUAAUAAGUUUUGCAGGGGCCCACCUCUCCAGCCUGCCCAGGUCCCUCUGGGUGGCAUCCCUUCCCUCCAGCAUGUCAGCUGCACCACAUAUCCUGCUGUUGUUGGCAAACUUGCUGAGGGCGGCUUGGUCCCAGUGUCUGUGUCGCCAACAGAGUUGUUAAACAGUGCUGGUCCCAGUACGAACCCCUGAGAAAUGCCACUUGUCACUGGUCUCCACCCAGACAUUGAGCCAUUGACCACAGCUCUUUGAGUGCGAUCAUCAGCCAAUUCCUUACCCACCAAGUGCUCCGUCUCUCAGAUCCAUGUCUCUCCAGAGACAAGGGUGUCGUGUGGGACAGUGUCAAAUGCUUUGCACAAGUCCAGGCAGGUGACGUCAGUCACUCUUCCCUCCUCCACCAACACUGUAACCCCACUGUAGAAGGCCACCAAAUUUGCCAGGCACAGCUUGCCCUGAGUGAAGCCACGUGGUGCACAUGGCUGAAACUCCCUCAAACAAGAGAAAGGUGAGAUCAUACAGUAUUGGUACAGUGACAACAAACAUGCAGGAGGAAUAUUCAGCCUCAGUCUUCACGGUUUAAACCAUCACAAGCUAUUAUGCAAAUUAAACCACAAGGGAGGGAGAUCAUCCCCUGUCUGUCGACAGCAAGGCUCCUGCAUGUGCCCAAGGGCUGUAUGUGUCACUCAUCUGACCCGAGGGAGCUACUGAGCUACUAAAUCUCAUGAAAAUAUGUGGCAUGUUGGCCUGCUAGAUAAGAAAAUCAGUGUGGUGACUAAAUCAAAACAAAAAUAGGUGUGUCUCUUAUGUCUGGUCACUUGAGGGAGGAAACACCCUUUGCAUCAGGCUGUGGAAGGGGGCACACCCCAUCCAUGUAGAGUUAAGGUUGCAGCUUCUGCCUGACCCCCUCUUCCCAAACCUGGGAGUGUGGGUACAUUUCCAGGGCCAGAGCUUGUAAGGGGAAGACAGCAGGGAAAUUCUGUGUCCUGAUGAAAGUCAUACAUAUAACAACUGCUUGUACCAUGUGCUAUUUUUAAGGUCUAAGAUUAAAUAGCAUCCUAAUGGCUUUCUUUGGAAGGAUCAGGCAACGGUUUGAAUUUCAGCGCUGUCCCAGCCUACCUUGGGCUUCAGAUCAUUAUAGGCUUAAAAAUCCCUCUCUCUCCUUAGCAGAUCCACCUCUCUUGUCCUCUGGAGCCUUUCUGCUAACUGUUCUCCGAGAUGACGUAGACCCUGGUUCUCGUGCAGGACAGCAAUUCCUGUGCCUGUGGAGCAGCCAUAGUAAUACAACAAAAAGCAGUGGGUUACAUCAGCGCCAUGUCGGGGAGUACAUCUGACCUGCUUUUGGUUUCAAAAAGAACUUCUAGUUCUUCCCUGAGCCUUGAAUUUAUUCCCCAAAAUAAAACCUUAAAGAGUCCAAAGCCUAGCCUUCAAUACAGUGGUCACACGGGAGCAACCUAUUGGUGUUUUAAGGAGACAGAAGUGUCCAGAGUUCACACUCGCCCUAGUCCCAGCCAGGCACACCUAACCAGCAGAAAUCAGAGCAGGCAGCCGCCCUGCAAUGCCAUAGGUGUGUCCAUUAUAAACUAUGCGUUGCAGCAGGCAACUGUCCAAUAUGAUCCAAACAUCCUUAUUUCAUUGCACAAAGGGCUUCCUACUUACAAAAUCUGAAUUUAUAAACCCUGGGUGGUGGGCUACCAUCAGCCCAAAAGCUGUGAUCUGUUUCUACAGCAUGUAGCAUCACAGUCCGGGCAGCUGUCUCCCAUCACUGUUCUUCCAUACACAUUGCUAGCUAAGAACAAAUUCUUCUGGUUGUCUCAUCCCCAUCUACAGCUUUUUCUUCAUAAUAUGUGGCAUCCUCAUUGCACAUCUUAAGCUGUUAUGGGUUUUUUACCCUAUUAUGCAUAGCUUCUCAGUACACUGAGAACUGGGCUUCCUGGUUUUCUUAGAUCCUGUCUUGCUUCAGCUGAAGGCAGUUGAAUUUUUGUCAUUGGUAUUGGAAGGAGCAGGAUGGAAGAGAGAAUUUCAUAGCUCAGCUUACAUCUGAAGGACAGAAUAACUUGUUCCUGAUCAGAAGGAAGGAAGGAAGGAAAAGCAAUAUAUAAUAUGAGCUACACCUCUGUCCUCCACACAGAUGAAUUCCUGCAACUGUUCAGCAAUCAUCAAUGUAAAGGCGGGAUGAAAUCCCAGCUGGACUUGUUCCUAGGUGAACAACUGACUGAUGUGUUCCCUUAGCUGCUAGCAUGCUUACAAGCCUAGCUUCCCCAGAAAAAACUCCUGGCUCCUUUAUUAUUCUACCUGAGCUUAGCUUCUGUGGGGACACUGUUUAAUAUGAAACUUCCUUGUUUUAGUUCAAAAUCUGAAGUCUGCUCUUUGCUUUAUGGGAGCAGCUCUAGGACAGACUCCAUUCGUUGCCUCCCCACAUAUUUUUGCUAUGCAAAAAUUCAGAGCAUCUCAUUUAUCUUUGUUUAUCCCUGGAAAGAAUAUAACCUACUUCUCCACUUGCUUUUCCAGCUGCCUUUCUGGACUCCGCGAGUCGUCUCUCAGCUCCGUUUGUCCUAAAAGAGAGGGCAGCAGGAACCACCCUCCUCGGUCAUAUGGCAGUCAAAGUCUAUGAGAAGCUACCGGUGUAUCUGUCCUUGUAAUAGCAAGUAAUUUUUUUUAAUUUUUUUUUUUGCAGGGGGAGGUGGAGGGAGAGAAGGUGCGUGGGCAAUAGCUCUGCCCCUUCAUCAAGUCAGGCAGUGAAAGUGGAUGGGGUAAAAGUAAGGGGACCAGCUUAUCUCCCUAACGAGUCCCUCCAGGCCAGGCCCAUUAGCCCAGCAGGGCAGGUAAAGCAGGCCAGCAGUCAGGCUGCUCUUCGUGUAGGUCUGACUUGUAUCAUGUGAGUCACUUGUGAGCGCUGAGGGAGCCAGGCAGGGAGAGCUCGUUUCUGGCAAAUGCUUGUUCAUGGCCACUUUGAUGGGAGACAGUGCAAAUUAAGGACACUCGGUAACGUGGCAGGGCUUGGCUUGGCUGUUCCAGGGCAUUGACAGUAAAAGCCUUGGAGAGAAACAGCGAUGAACAGUGCGGCUUUCUGGCCCAUUUAUCAAGAGUUUGUCAUUCUCCCUUCAAAGCAUAUGACAUGAUAGCCAAAGGUGAAUGCUCAACAUGAGAAGUGCUUGGGAGGCAAGGCUGCUGGGGAUUGUCCUGGCUCCGCAGGGAUGCCGCUUUAAAAGCCCCGUGUUGCUGAGAGGUUCCUGUCAUCCCUCUGAUCUCUCAAUCAUUUCAGACAUGCAGCAGAGCCUGUGGAGGGGUCAUUUCCAAAAAUGAGUGCUCGUCAGUGGCAGUUAGUAAGUAAGGCACCCUGAACCCUCUAUAAAGAAGGAGAAAGAAAAAAAAAAGCACCAGUUUUAUAAAGUGUUUGAGUGGAGCAAAGAAUUGCCUCAGCUCUUACAGUAGCACCCAGGAAACUUUUUUUCAGGAAACUUGGGUUUCUGUAUGCUUUUGAAAGUGAAUGCCUGUAAGCAUCUUGGAGAAUUUGAAUACUCCUACAAAAGUAGCCUGCAACUUCCACUCCCAUGCUGCUGUCUUCAUUUCACAUCCACUUCCCUCUGAUGAAUCAGGCAUGCAAGAAGAAGCUAACUAGCCCGAGUGAGGCAGGACGCCGCUCCGGCAAAUACAAAAGCAUUGUGGGGCGCUGGCAGAUAUUGGCCGGCCAGCCAGCCAGGGCUGUUAUGCUUAUCAAAGCUGACUCCAGCACAAUGGAAGGCAUGGAAUUUUGGCCAGGGACCCCUGCCACCCCAGAGACCUGUCAAAUCUCUCUGACUGGUCAUGGGAUUUGCCUUGCAGCUGGCACACCCUGUGAUCUUCUGAUCUGGGAUUGUCUGUCAACUGUAACCUGGUGCGCAGGGCGAGGAGGAGGAGGGUGGCUGCAGUGCCAUGCUGAGGCUGUGGGAGCAAGUAGUGCUGCUGAGGGCUCUGCGGUCCCCGGGGCACCAUCAGAAAGCACAGCUCUAGCUGCUGUCCUGCAUCCCAGGUCCUACUGUAAGUGACCCAGGGUGUGGGAUGCUUCCCGCACUCAGCACAUGAACCAGAGCAUGGGCGUUCGCAUGCGGGAAGAGGAGAACCUGCCAAGGCUUGCCAUCAUGUGGUAGCUGAGGUUUGCAUCUAAGCAGAGCCUUGUCCUGGACAUUUGCGGCGCAGGAGCGGGUGAGAGGUCUUUGGGCCCCCAGGAGCUUCCAGCCCAAAGCAGACAGAGCAUGUAACCAGGACUGACAAAUGCCGUGUGAUGAGACAGAAGACGACUGUUCAAGGGAAAAGCAGGCUGCAAAGAGCCUGGCUCCAUCAGGCCCUGCAGGCGAUCAGAUACAAGAUAAGGCGCAGAGAGCGGCAGAGGGGGACGUUUUGGUCACUCAUCUAGAGGCUGGAAGGAGCAGAUCUGAGGACGAUGAGAUGGAGGACACGGGUGUCUGGAGGACUGCCAUGCCUCUGUUAUGAGAUGUGCCAUCACUGCUUGGACAAAAUGAGGGGACUGUGAAAGGCAACGGAACCUCACAUCUCUUCAGUGUAGUACCCUGUGUCAGAUGGUACUGGGGCCAGGCACGGAAGUUUGCCAGGCCAACACAGAGGUGAUCUCUUCACGCUGAAUCUCAUCCUGCACCUGGAUUGCUGCCUGGCUGAAGCUCUGGGACAGGAGGGUUCAUACACUUUCCAUACAACUCAUUAUGACUAUUCCAGACAUUCCUGGGACCCAACGGUCUACUCCCUUUCUGAGUCCUAAAAAGCCAGCAGCAACACUUUCUUGUGGCAACAAGUUACACAGGGUAAUGGUACAUGUGCAAAUUAAUGGUUUGGAGUGUGCUGCUUUCCAAUUCCUUUGUUUUUGUGUUACAACAAAAAAAGAAGUGAAAGGUUCCUGCUGUACUUUCUGUCAGCCGUUCAGCAUUUCCUCUGGUUCCAUCGCAUAAUUUCUGACUUGCCUUUUUUUCUGAGGUGGCUGAUGCCUCAGUGUCCCAUCACGUGCUCUUCCCUCUCCCGUGGCUGCCCUCCCGGCUUUUGGUGAACAACCCUGAAUUCUCCAACUUCCUUGUCGUGGUGGGAUGAGGCAGAACUAUGGGUAUCAUCUUUGGAAAGACAUUGCUGUUUACAUACAUUUCCUACAUCCCUCAUCUGGGUUCCAGUACUUUCAUUAUACCUCAUCUUACUUCCCUUAAAGCUCUAACAACCUGUUGUUCCCCUUGCUCACAGACAAGGCAGAAGCCAGGGCAGUGCUGUCUACAGAAAUGCCCAAGUUCUGUUUCUGAAACGACACAGUCACUGUAGAAACCUGACUCCCAUGAAAUUCCCCUUGGUUAUCAAAACAGCUGAGAGCACUUCGGCUGUCUGAAGAAUUCCCAGGGCAUUUUCUGCUGUUUAUUUUCCCUUUGGGCAGUUCGCCCAUUUGUGCAAACCCUAUGAAAGAGCAGGUGUGAUGGAAAGCCCGUAUGCGUGAUGCUCAUCCACAGCUGUGCAGCCACCGCUGGUCCCAUUUUGCACACUCAUCAGUUCAGACAUGCAAAUAAAGGGUGUGUAGUUUUCAUUUAUAUGCUUUAGCUUUAAAUACGAGCCACACAGGGAAGUUGCAUGAAAACCAUCUUUUCAGGCUAGAAGCAAGCCCUCGGUGUGAAUUAAAGGCAGUGUCAUAUUAUCAGCAAGGACAGAGCUCGGCCCUUCUUGAUCAAAAGCUGCUUUCCCUGGCAGCUCGUGCCAAUGGAGGCAGCAGGGUGCCAAACCCCAUGCCAAACCCGAAUUAUUCAGCUACAGUAGAGCAGAAGGCGGAGACCUCCCUAUGUAGCGCACCCAGCUCACUGCAGCAUCACCUGGGAGACCUUGUGAGAAGCCCUUUGCCCAGCUGGAGAUGGCCCGCUGGCCCUCCAAGGUGCUCAGCACCAGCUCAGCACCACCUGAGUGGGCAGCACAGCCGUGUGCCUCAGCCAGCUGAUGAAGCCUGCCCAGCUGAGCAGGCGAUGGAGCUCUGGGCUGGGGAAGGAUGGACCUUCCAGCACAUUCAAAGGUGUUACUGAGAUGCAUUUCUCAGGCGUGCGAUUGGAGAGGUUUUCUGAAUCUGCUCCCAGACCUGGCUGCCAAGAGAGAGCAGCAUAUAUGAAGCAGAGAAAAUUAGCUAACCCCUGAGGCUGGGGUUAGAGAGGGGAUCUCUGAGGAAUUACCUCACAUCCAAAACUCUAGUAGGGAAAAAAGGAAGGUACUGGCUGGGGGAAGGGUGUAACUGCGAGAAACAGGCCUGAAGGAGAAAAGAGAAAAUGCAUCAUUGCGCUGCAUGACAUGGCUGCAGCAGAUAGCUGCUUGAAUUAUACAUAGAGCAGAGGGCAGAUUACAUCAGAAUUAAAAGUUGCCUGAAAAUGCCAAAGAAUGAAACUCAAUCGGUUGUAUAAAAAUUUAAUUACCAUGUUGUUAAACCCU